GGGCCCGCACAAGCGGUGGAGUAUGUGGUUUAAUUCGAUGCAACGCGAAGAACCUUACCAGGGUUUGACAUCCUGCGAAUUCUGGUAAGCAGAAAGGUAGCUUGCGGACGCUGCGGAACGAUGUAGAGUGGCUAGGUAUGGGCUUGCUCGGCUUGCAUGCCGUCCAGGCUCGGUUGCGUGAGGAUUGUUGGGGUUUAAGUCCCCGCAACGAGCGCCAACCCAUCGUCUUUAGUUGCCAGCAUUUAGUUGGGCACUCUAGAAGAGACUGCCGGUGAUAAAACCGGAGGAAAGGUGUGGAAUGACGUCAAGUCAUCAUGCCCCUUACAUCUGGGCUACACACGUACUACAAUGCUACGGACAAAAGGGCAGCAAAGUUCGCGAGGAGCUAAGCAAAAUCCCAAUAAACGUGGCUC
rnacentral:rRNA from 1 species